rnacentral:lncRNA from 1 species
GAAAUUCAAUUUCAACAAAAACACAUAACAAACUCGAGAACAAAGACUUCAUAAAUAACAUAAUUUUUAAUAUAAAUUUAACAUAAGUAACAACAAUUCGUGUUUAAUUUGCAAAAGGUCUACUCAACCUAGUACAACUUUAUUUUCUCAUCACUAAAGUCCUUAAUUUAGUGAUUUUUAGGUUCCACAAUUAUUCUUCAUCAGAUUUGCAUGGAAAAUCCUCCAAUAAGUCUUUGGAGGCAUCAUGCUAACACAACUUAUCCACGUU